ensembl:snRNA U1 U1 spliceosomal RNA
GUACUUACCUGGCAGGGGAGAUACCAUGAUCACGAACAUGGUUUUCACAGGGUAAGGCUCCAUUGCACUCCAGAUGUGCUGACCCCUGCAAUUUCCCCGACUGUGGGAAACCCGACUGCAUAAUUGUGGUAGUGGGGGCUGUAUUUGUGCUUUCCCCUG